rnacentral:rRNA from 1 species
GGGUUGUGAGGUUAAGCGACUAAGCGUACACGGUGGAUGCCCUGGCAGUCAGAGGCGAUGAAGGACGUGCUAAUCUGCGAUAAGCGUCGGUAAGGUGAUAUGAACCGUUAUAACCGGCGAUUUCCGAAUGGGGAAACCCAGUGUGUUUCGACACACUAUCAUUAACUGAAUCCAUAGGUUAAUGAGGCGAACCGGGGGAACUGAAACAUCUAAGUACCCCGAGGAAAAGAAAUCAACCGAGAUUCCCCCAGUAGCGGCGAGCGAACGGGGAGCAGCCCAGAGCCUGAAUCAGUGUGUGUGUUAGUGGAAGCGUCUGGAAAGGCGCGCGAUACAGGGUGACAGCCCCGUACACAAAAAUGCACAUACUGUGAGCUCGAUGAGUAGGGCGGGACACGUGGUAUCCUGUCUGAAUAUGGGGGGACCAUCCUCCAAGGCUAAAUACUCCUGACUGACCGAUAGUGAACCAGUACCGUGAGGGAAAGGCGAAAAGAACCCCGGCGAGGGGAGUGAAAAAGAACCUGAAACCGUGUACGUACAAGCAGUGGGAGCCUCUUUAUGGGGUGACUGCGUACCUUUUGUAUAAUGGGUCAGCGACUUAUAUUCUGUAGCAAGGUUAACCGAAUAGGGGAGCCGAAGGGAAACCGAGUCUUAACUGGGCGUUAAGUUGCAGGGUAUAGACCCGAAACCCGGUGAUCUAGCCAUGGGCAGGUUGAAGGUUGGGUAACACUAACUGGAGGACCGAACCGACUAAUGUUGAAAAAUUAGCGGAUGACUUGUGGCUGGGGGUGAAAGGCCAAUCAAACCGGGAGAUAGCUGGUUCUCCCCGAAAGCUAUUUAGGUAGCGCCUCGUGAAUUCAUCUCCGGGGGUAGAGCACUGUUUCGGCAAGGGGGUCAUCCCGACUUACCAACCCGAUGCAAACUGCGAAUACCGGAGAAUGUUAUCACGGGAGACACACGGCGGGUGCUAACGUCCGUCGUGAAGAGGGAAACAACCCAGACCGCCAGCUAAGGUCCCAAAGUCAUGGUUAAGUGGGAAACGAUGUGGGAAGGCCCAGACAGCCAGGAUGUUGGCUUAGAAGCAGCCAUCAUUUAAAGAAAGCGUAAUAGCUCACUGGUCGAGUCGGCCUGCGCGGAAGAUGUAACGGGGCUAAACCAUGCACCGAAGCUGCGGCAGCGACGCUUAUGCGUUGUUGGGUAGGGGAGCGUUCUGUAAGCCUGUGAAGGUGUGCUGUGAGGCAUGCUGGAGGUAUCAGAAGUGCGAAUGCUGACAUAAGUAACGAUAAAGCGGGUGAAAAGCCCGCUCGCCGGAAGACCAAGGGUUCCUGUCCAACGUUAAUCGGGGCAGGGUGAGUCGACCCCUAAGGCGAGGCCGAAAGGCGUAGUCGAUGGGAAACAGGUUAAUAUUCCUGUACUUGGUGUUACUGCGAAGGGGGGACGGAGAAGGCUAUGUUGGCCGGGCGACGGUUGUCCCGGUUUAAGCGUGUAGGCUGGUUUUCCAGGCAAAUCCGGAAAAUCAAGGCUGAGGCGUGAUGACGAGGCACUACGGUGCUGAAGCAACAAAUGCCCUGCUUCCAGGAAAAGCCUCUAAGCAUCAGGUAACAUCAAAUCGUACCCCAAACCGACACAGGUGGUCAGGUAGAGAAUACCAAGGCGCUUGAGAGAACUCGGGUGAAGGAACUAGGCAAAAUGGUGCCGUAACUUCGGGAGAAGGCACGCUGAUAUGUAGGUGAAGUCCCUCGCGGAUGGAGCUGAAAUCAGUCGAAGAUACCAGCUGGCUGCAACUGUUUAUUAAAAACACAGCACUGUGCAAACACGAAAGUGGACGUAUACGGUGUGACGCCUGCCCGGUGCCGGAAGGUUAAUUGAUGGGGUCAGCGCAAGCGAAGCUCUUGAUCGAAGCCCCGGUAAACGGCGGCCGUAACUAUAACGGUCCUAAGGUAGCGAAAUUCCUUGUCGGGUAAGUUCCGACCUGCACGAAUGGCGUAAUGAUGGCCAGGCUGUCUCCACCCGAGACUCAGUGAAAUUGAACUCGCUGUGAAGAUGCAGUGUACCCGCGGCAAGACGGAAAGACCCCGUGAACCUUUACUAUAGCUUGACACUGAACAUUGAGCCUUGAUGUGUAGGAUAGGUGGGAGGCUUAGAAGUGUGGACGCCAGUCUGCAUGGAGCCGACCUUGAAAUACCACCCUUUAAUGUUUGAUGUUCUAACGUUGACCCGUAAUCCGGGUUGCGGACAGUGUCUGGUGGGUAGUUUGACUGGGGCGGUCUCCUCCUAAAGAGUAACGGAGGAGCACGAAGGUUGGCUAAUCCUGGUCGGACAUCAGGAGGUUAGUGCAAUGGCAUAAGCCAGCUUGACUGCGAGCGUGACGGCGCGAGCAGGUGCGAAAGCAGGUCAUAGUGAUCCGGUGGUUCUGAAUGGAAGGGCCAUCGCUCAACGGAUAAAAGGUACUCCGGGGAUAACAGGCUGAUACCGCCCAAGAGUUCAUAUCGACGGCGGUGUUUGGCACCUCGAUGUCGGCUCAUCACAUCCUGGGGCUGAAGUAGGUCCCAAGGGUAUGGCUGUUCGCCAUUUAAAGUGGUACGCGAGCUGGGUUUAGAACGUCGUGAGACAGUUCGGUCCCUAUCUGCCGUGGGCGCUGGAGAACUGAGGGGGGCUGCUCCUAGUACGAGAGGACCGGAGUGGACGCAUCACUGGUGUUCGGGUUGUCAUGCCAAUGGCACUGCCCGGUAGCUAAAUGCGGAAGAGAUAAGUGCUGAAAGCAUCUAAGCACGAAACUUGCCCCGAGAUGAGUUCUCCCUGACCCUUUAAGGGUCCUGAAGGAACGUUGAAGACGACGACGUUGAUAGGCCGGGUGUGUAAGCGCAGCGAUGCGUUGAGCUAACCGGUACUAAUGAACCGUGAGGCUUAACCUUACAACGCCGAAGCUGUU